GAGGAGGAGGGUGUGAAGCUGAGUGUGGCAAGGCUGCGCCCUGCUUGGAGGACGUGGUGUGCUGGCCCUGCCACCACCCGCUUGGCUACCACAUGCCUGGCCUGGCGGCCAUUUUGUCCCUGGCCGGCCAUGACAGCUCCCACUCUCUCUGCUCUCUGCUUGCCUCUGAGGUGUGCCUGGAGGGCAGACGCUGUGUCCUUCUUGCUGCUGUGGCUGGAAGCCUGGGUCCGGCCUCCCUGGUGGAACAUAGUCUUGGUCACUGUGACCUCAUAACAUGGCCAGACUCCCUGCCUAUGGCACCAGGCUUAUUCUUGACAUUUGUGUCCUGCGGUUCUUGUUGAGGCAUAGGGGACACAGUGCCUGGGUCUUGAGAAAGAUGCUUCCUACAUGGAGCACCUGCUGCCUCUGCUGGUAUCUGGUAGCUACAGUGACAUGUGUGCUGAGUUGAAGGGGAACAGAGCAUGAUGGAAACCAGCAGCCCUUUCCUGAAUGUUCACUGUGUGUCAUGGAGCAUGCUAAGCACUUUGUGGGUCUUAUCUCACUUCAUUCUCAUGUAGUGAUGGGCCGAGGUCAGAAAUGUGGUUCUGUGGAGGAAGAAAGUCAAAUGAGGUGGAAUCAAUUACCUGCCACAAGCCCCCAGCUGAGGGGAGUGUUUCUGACUCCUGAGGCCCCACUGUCCAUCCCAGUGCACUUCCUUCUUGUGACAUAGGUGCCCAGAAAGCAGGGUUUAACCUGGGUUUCGUUACUGAACUCACUCAGCUCAUCGACUGAGCCACAUUGGCUGGGUCACCUAGCUUUUCUCAUUUGUUCAUCUAUAAAAUGAGAGUACUUGUGUAUAUUUAACAAGGCUUCUGCAAGGGGUGACGUAAGGUAAUUUGUUACAAAAGUGCUUUGUAAACUAGAAAGGGCUACACAGCCAUUGCAUCUCAUUUAAAUGAGUCAGUAGUAAAAACUUACUUAAAAAUACGUGCCGAGAAAGGUCCCUGUGCUUUGGGCUUUUGGGGAAGGAAAUAUGUCUAGUUCCUGCUUCUUGUCGGGAUUCUUGGAUAUGAAGAUGGGGCCUGGGUCCUCAGUAAGGGAACGAUGUCCUGCAUGGUGCUGUGGGUAAGCGCCUGGGCUUGGAGCCCGGCUCCCAGCUGUGGCUCCUUGGACAGGUUCCUCCAGUCCCCGCCAUGAUGGCACCAGCUCCGUGGUGUAGGGAGGGGCCUUGCACAGGCUUGCAGGACGAAGGUUGAAGUCUGUGUUUGUGAUGAGGAUAUUGCUAUUUGGGAAAAUAAAAUAGCAAAGUGAUACUCGUUGGGGACUUAGCUUUAUUUGAAGGCUUUCCUGGGGCACGAGGAUAACAUUUGUGCCUGGGGGAGCUGAGGGCUGACAUUCUAGGGUGGCCUUGGGGGAAAGUCAGACCCCAGGGAAGGAUACAAAUCUCGUAGGUAGGCCUCCUGCAGGCCCCAGGAGGUGCCUAUGUUCUGCAGGUCAGCUGGCCAGAACCUCUCCUGGCCUCAAGCAGGUUACAGAUCACAGAGAGGAUCAGUGAAGCUUGUGGUUUUCAUCUUGGUGGAGAGCAAAGUUUGAUCAGAAAGAGUUCCUGACAUUUGUUAACAUGUUGCUUGGUUCUGUAUGAGAAAGACAAGGCAAAUGGGAGGAGUCCAAUGUCAGGGUGGGGGUAGGAAGGAGGGUGCGUGUGUCUGGGAGGGGGCUCUCUGGGAUGCAUUUCUCCUACCGAGAGCUCUAGAGUAGUGGAAGGGGAUGAAGCAGUCACCUGGGACCUUGGCGUUCUGUGACCCUGACAGCGGUGUUCAGAAAUAGGCCCUGUGGGCGGCAUCCUACGUUCCUAUCCCCACAUUCGUUGGUCUGUGUGUCAGCGAUGGCUGCCGGACUUGAUUGCUCGAUGUGGUUGGUGGCACAGAGGCCAUAAGAUGCUGCCCAGGCCUCUGAGAAGCUUCCUAGCAGUGAGGCUGUUUUAUAACUGUUCUCAAAUCAUGUCAGCUCCAGAAGCUAUUUUAGGAAUGCCUUUGGUUAUGAACCAUAUCUUACGUUUAAUUUUGAUUCUCUUUUCCCUCAUGUCCUGGAUUCUGUAGCGACAUCCACAAACAGUGUGCCUGGCAUGGUUGUAGGUAUUGGAAAUACUUAGUAAAAUUGGGAGAUACUGGUCAGAGCUCAUUAAUUCACUAUACCAGGCACCUAGAAUGUCUCUGAAGGGCUUUAGGCCUCCUGUCCACGAGUCGGAGGACCCUAAGAUUCUGUCUGGAGUGAGCUGUCGAAGUGGAGGGAUUUGCUGUCUCCCUGUGGGCCUGUGUGUGCUCCUGACAGCAGUGAGGGCUGCAGCCCCGCUGGGAGGCCCUGAAGGCACGUACGCCUCGUCCCUCCUCCCACGUCUAGUGCCCGAGAGAUGCCUCCCCUUCCUCCUCUUCUGCUACGAUACAGGUGGGGAAGGACAGUUGUGUUCUUAACCAAACCUAUAGUUUGUAGCCAGAGGAGCUGGUGGUCUUUGAUUUGCUGGGAAAGUGUGAGAUGCUUAUGGGGGGAGUUAACUGAUUUCUGUCUCCUUUUGUAGCUCACUUGAGGCCACAGGGAAAAGCACCUGGUGGAAAAACCUUCCAGGGCUCCUAGUUUUAGCUCCAUAGUAAGCUGCCUCAGUGCUCUCCAGCCAAAGGGAGAGAAGAGUGCUGUGUUCAUGGCACCAUAGAUUACUUUGAAACUGCUGGGGGACCCUUUCUAGAAGCUGGAGUUGGGAGAGUGAACAUGUGUUUGAUAAGUCCAGAUCAAAGGAAGGAGAAAGUAACAGAAACCUCAGAGAGGUGCAGUGUGGGCGGUGAAGGGGCUUGGAUCAAGUAAGCCUGUUUCUAGUGUUUGCCUGGGACUUGGGGAGGCCUCAUCCAACCAGUCAACACGAACAAUUCAAUACUGCUCACAGCACAGUUUUCAGAGGAGUGAAAAAGCAUUCUAAAGCUUGACCGGGGUCCUUGAAAAGUUCAGACCCUCGGUGGACAGAUCAGAUGCGCCCCAUGGGACACAAUCUGUGACAGCAUAUUAGCAAGCCCUGGUCAUACUGGGGUUCCAUGUGUUGUUGGCAUUUGGACACAGAAGCUUAGUCAUUGCAGCACAUGUGGGCCUGCAGGAUUUCCAUCGAUUUUGCCCAGAAAUGAACAGAGAAUACAAGUAGACAUACUGCUUAGCUGAGUAGCGACCAGGGGCCUCAGAUUUUAUUUCAAUGUCAGUGGUGUCCAAGAGCCUUCUCCCUGCUAGGGUUUGGCCAGGUGGAAAGGAUUCAUUCAGUGAACACUUGGAAAAGAAGCAGGUGAGCUUUGGAAUGGAUUCCCAGCUAAGGGAGAGGGAGCAGAAAGAGUAGUGCAGAUGACAUGUAUGAAAUGAUUUAAAGCACUGCGCAUUGAAAGACUUCAACAAAGGCUUUUUGAUAGAUUCUAAGAUCAAGACAGAGAAACUCCUGAAGAAAUUCCAGGAUGCAGUGGGGGUAGAGACCAAGGUGGAUUGGACAGUUCCGGGCAGCUUCAGGGGUGGCCUCUGCACAGGAGUCUGAAAUCCUGUAGUCACAGAGUGGCCCAAGCCACUCUGGAGCAGGGGAAGAGAUCGCUGAGCUAACGCUUGACUAAUUAGAAAAACACAGCAGGAUAGAGGAGGGGUUCUGGCAGGUGAAUAAUACUUACAGGCCUGACAGUGUUUACCCCAGAGUGGGGAGAUUGCUAGGCACAGUGUUGUAUAUUUACAUUUUUUUUGGUCUUUUUCCUUUUUAUCGGUACCGGGGAUCGAACUCACGACUGCCUGCUUGCAAGGCAGGUGCUUAUGCCGCUGAGCUAAACCUCCAGCCCCCAGUGUUGUGUAUUUAAAUGAACAUCCAGGGAAGCAGGUGUCGGGCUUUACUUCUGCGGACUUCAGGGCAACCCUGGGGUUUGUGGUAAGGGAGGCAGGAGUGGAGGUAGAUGUGGUUCAGAGAACUGAGAUGCUUCCCUGCCUUUUGAGCAGGAAAAGGUGUGAAGGAGGGGAGCUGGGUGACACUGUCAGGUAGAGAGCCCCUGCUGUGGGUCUCAUGUUGUUUGUGUAAGCGAAUGACCAUUCUGUAGGGCUGCUCAUGAUGAAAACACUAGUGAUGAUCACCACUUGCUGACUUCUUGGUGGGUACCAGGCUCAGUUACUAAAUGUUUUGCUCAUGUGCAUUUGUGUCAUUUACUCAGCCAUACUAUGGAGAGAAGCAAUGCGUUGAUCAGCCCUACUUUAUACAUGAGAAAAUUUAGGCCAAGGUGAGGAGACCCACCCAGAUCCUGCCGUGUGGACUUGAGCCCAAGGCCCACUCUUGGUCUUGGUGCAUGGUAAAUCUAGAUGGCGUCAGUAACCUUGCAGCCCCAGUGUACUAAGGUGUUCUUUUGGCUAUUGUCCCAGCCCACUUGAAUGUGGACAGAGGCCCUGUGUCAUUUAGGGUAGGAAAGGUGGUGGUUGUGUUGGGUGCCCUUGCUGUCCACAGGGUUAGGGGGAGACUCAGGAAUAGGCCUGUCCCACUGGCUGGCAGGCUGGAGCCUCUCUGAGAGUGUGCUGGGGAACACUGGGCUUGUCUUGGACUCUCAGCUGCUCAUAGAGGCCUCUGUUCUCCAGCCCUCUGGUGACACACAGCUUUUGGAGGGUCCAUUGGGGCUUCUGCCGUGUCUGCUUUCUAGAAACUUGCACUCAUACCCGCAGGACACUCGCCUUGCAGGAACCUCCCUGGGAAAGCACGGGCCUGUUGGUGAAGGUGCCAUUGCUUCCACUGGAGGCUGUGGGUGUGGCCUGCGAAGCCUAUAAGGCCAGAGCAUUAUGGAAACAAAAGCUGAACUCAGAGUGGUUUGGGAAUCCCCGUCCCGCUUGCGUUUGAGAUUUGAGCUGUCUCGAUCUGACUCAGUCAGGUGAAGUGGUAGUUUGUGCUGAGGUGGGAGAGACUCCAUUUUUAAGUCAUGGGCUCAGAUGGUGUGGUCAUGCAGAGGUCAACACAGUCUCAGGAGUCAUUGGUGUGUAGGUGCUACAUGCCCCGGAGACCUCUGUCCAUGAGAGCAUCAGGACUGUCCAUGGGUUCAGGCCUGGGCUUGGAGGCCAUGUGGCCAGGACUCCUGUGCCCCUGCCUAUGUCUAACCUGUGGCACAAGUAUUGGUGUUGCUGUUGAGGAACAAGAUACGGAGGUCUCUGUUCUGACUUACGUGGCGCAGCCCGACUCCAUCUCUUGAAAUAAUUUCCCUCAGAUGACGGCCAAGAUUUUGAGAGCACUCAGUCGAGAGGCACGUUGGGUUUUCCCCCACAUCCCAGGAAGACUUGGUAUCCUUGCAUUUGGGUUGGUACUGGACGCCCCCUGGACCAGGGGCUCUGGCUGGUGACUAGAAGAGUGGUCUGGUGAGAAGAGCAGGUAGCAGUUCCAUUGCCAGGAAGGGUUUUGCCUUAGGCCAAGCUGUGAGCCUGCUGGGCUAGGAGCUUACAUUUAAUGAUUGGUGGCCUAGGAAAAGACUGACAUUUUGGCUUCUUUUACUUUCCCAGGAGUGAUAGGGUCAGCCUGGUCUGGAUACUUUGGAGCCCGAAUUUUUGGCUCAAGAGGCAGGCUGACUCCAUGUCCAGGAGAAGGUGUUGACUUGUGACUGGACAUACUGACCAGUGUCAUCAUCCCAGGCCAGCCAUCCCCUGAAUGUUCCCUGUCAUGGUAUUGCCCGUAGGUUUAUUCUGUGAGGGACUCUUGGUGGUAGAGGAGUCUCCUCCAUGAGGACCGGGAAGUCAGGGCCUGAAUGGCCUUCACUCGUCCUGGAUCACCCUGAAGUCCUGUGUUCUCAGGGCUGGUGGUUGUCGCCUGGCUCCAGCUCCCUGUCUGUGGUGGCUUUUUGUGUUGGCAUUGCUGUCUCAGCUCUGCCAGGACCUACCCUCCAGCACAUCCUGUCCUAGCCCUUGUCUCUGGGAUUUUCACUUGGCAUCUGGCACUGCACUGUGUCCUUGUGGUGCUUGUCGUCACUGCGGGGCCUUGUUUCACUUCAGCUCUGUGACCUACGUGUAAGUCCCGUCAUCCGCUGGGGUGGGGAUUUGAUGGGGAAAUCUCCACAGUGGCCCUAGGACACUUCCUCUGAGGCAGAAGUCUGACCGGAGCAUGGUCGGCACUACUGGGGGCCCUGAUGAGGAACUGUUUGUCUGUGAACUCCACCAUCUGACCUUUAAAUCACAAGGGCCUUUUUUUUUUUUUUGCGGGACCCCCUUCCCCAACUCACCAAGCCUGUUUUCAUUCUUUCAGUGAUUGUGUACAUUUAUAAAGUCUUGGUUUUUGUUUCUUUUUGAAGUUCCCCAAAGUUUCCCAAGAUCAGAAAUUUUUUUCCUACCAAGUAUUGAACUGUCGCAGGAAGUUGGCCUCUCACCUGCUCCGCAGUGUGCUGGGUUAGCACUCCACCACUGAGUCACAUUCCCAGCCCACAACUUGGCUUUCACUUGCUUUCCUUAUUCCCUUGCCUUCUGUGCCUUUGACUUAUGACCUGAGCAUACUUGAUCUUGUCUACUUCUUUAAGAAGCUAGGCUUGGUUGCAUCUGAGUAGUGCUCACAUGGAAGUCCUGGUGUUAACAGGCCUUUUCUUAUGCCAGGUAAUCACGGUCAGUGUUACCAUCAUCAAAAUGAUAACUGGGCUUCACUGAGCAUUUCCUUUGUAUUGGGCUCAAUGCUAAUGUUCUGUGUCUCUCACAAUAAGGCCUCCAAGAAAACCCCUGUGAGGGGUUGAAUAAAGCUGAAGUUAGAAACUUAGGAAGGUUAAGAAUGUUCAAAUUUAUAUAAAGAGUAAAGAGGCUGCAUAAGAAUUCAGAUUGAAGUUUGUCUCAUUUGGGAGUUUUUAACUACUUAUGUACUAUCCUUGUUUAGUAGUGUAUAGCUGAAGUCUGGCUGGCCUCUAUAGCAUCACUAGUGAUGAUAGAACCCAACAUUUCUUGAAUGCUGAAGAGAGCUAAGCUCUGUGAAGAGUGACAUAUAUCAGCCUAUUUAAUCACCACAGCCCAAUGAGAUAGAUUACCCCUGCUUGGCUGAUUAGGAAACUGAGGGUCAGAAAGGCCAAGGUAAUUGACUAUAGGUUGUAUAGUUAAAUAGUGUGAGCCAGGGAAUUUGAGCUGUAUGAGCAUGUCCUCUUAAUUCCUUAUAGUUAUGGCUUAUAAAUACACUUUUUUUACCCCAUGUUUUCCUUCCUUAGCUCAGUUUGCUGUUCUUUGUCUGUUCUUCCUCAUCUUUUCUUCCUGAGAAACCCAGGCUAGGACCCCUUCACAAACUAUGCCUGUCAAUGUGGAGCUUACUCCAAACCACUGACUCUUUAAUUUAUAUUUUCAUAAUCUUAAAGGUGAGUCAUUCUAUUGCAGUGUAAGUCUAUUUUCUCUUUCUUAUUUCUGACCAAAGGAAAGGAACAGGAAGCCCAGACCUGUAGAUAUAUCAGGACACCUGACGUAGGACACAGGACUGCUGAGCCGAGGGGAAGGGAGGCUGGUUUAAUACGCAGUUCUGACUCUAGUGGAAUAUCCACAAGGGAAUAAAUAAGUCUUGACCAUAUAUAAAAAUAAAUUCCAGCAAGAUCCUCAAUCUAACCAUGAAAAUUAAAAUAAGGCUUCAUAUACAAUAUGGCAGUAUCUUACAACCCCGCGAUAGCCACACAUUACUUAUAGGAGACGCAGAAAACACUCACUGUAAAGGGAAGACUGAUAAAUUGAAUGACAUUAAAAGCUGGAACUUCUGAUCACGAAGACACCAGUAAAAGUGAAAGCAAGCAGUGGUGAGAGAAUACAUGCAGUACCUCUGAUUGACUCAUAUUCAGAAUAGGGAAAAUAACUCUUAACAAGCCCAUGAGAAAAAAGAGCCCCUCCUUCUGGGGAAAUUGAGAGUCCUAUCUUGUACCAGCUCCAGGUUUUGAUCAAGGUGUCCUCAUCAGUGACACAGCCUGGUUCUGCCCCCGGGAAGGGGCUAAGCCAUGGGUCUCCUGUUGCUUUGGUGGACAGUGGGCCUUCAUUUCCCACGAGCUGCUUCGCCUCACUGCAUAUGAUGUCCCAAGGACCUCCCUUCUCAUGAACGUUCAUGCCUCUUCCUCUUUUCCUUUGGCUUGCUAACUUUUGAUCCGCUAUUUUGAGAAUAUUGCUCUCCGGCUUCUUUUUUCCCCUUCCUUUUUCAUUUCCCUUUUUGUACCGUCUUGUUGAACCUAGAAACUUUCGGUUAUAAAAACUCUGAAAUUUAAUCUCUGUCUUUAGGGAAGUAGGUUGUGCCAUGGGCCUCCAAGGCUGGGCAGUGACCUGAAAGUUAGUGCCUCUCUCCAGAACUGUCAUCUUGGUUGUGCUCAAGCGGCUGAACCCUCCAAAGUUGUCUGCACUGUCCUAGGUGAUAAAGAAAAAUGCCAUCUUGCUGUGGAUGUAGACGUGCCACUUCCACCUGAGACUGAACUGCUCCCUGGUUUAUCUGGAGCACUCGGGUAGCUCCAGAUAUCUGCACAGAGUAUGAAACGGUCCCUGCACCACCACCCUGCCCUGAGAGCCUGGAUUCUUUCUCUGUGUGAAGCCCAGUCCCUGUAGAGCCGGCCUCAAUGAGGAAAUGAGAGGACAGAGAGGCUGCAUGAAACCUGCCUUUCUGGCAGAUGCUUGCUGGACAGGAGUUCGUGGCCAGUACAGAGUGCUUGCAUUCCACACCCUGGACGAGGGCGGUCAAAGUUCAACUCAUUGCUUUUAAAGAAAAAAGAAAGAAAGAAGAAAAGAAAGAAAGAACGAGAAAGCAAGCAAGUAGGCUUGUUUUUGGCAUUUGGAAGUUUUGACCCAGAUCACUGGGAGAACUCACAAUGCUCAGGGAGACGUUCAGUGCCUAAGGCCGGUAGCUACAGAGGCACAGUGAGCCUGUGAGCCCUGGGGCUGGAGCUGAAGUCCUGCCUUUUUUGAGUUUGCCCUGGCCUGGCCUUCUCUCUACUUUGGAGUUAUCUUUACCCCCUGAAACCAAACACUGCAUGUGGCACUCUGUAAAACUGCUUCCUUGUCGGCUGGAGCAUGCUUGCUAAGUAAACAUCCUUCCAUGUUUUUGGAUCUGAAUUCAUUUUUGCUUCCUGGUUGUCUCUUUUGAAUUUUUCUUUUCCUGGUGCCCUGCAGAAUCAGGUUAAUAGAUGGAAGACCUAGAAUUGGACAGAGGCGCCUAAAAAUGACUCUUUAAAUACUAGUAAAUUUGUAGGAGGGGUAGCGGGAUUGUGGGAAGAAAAAGAUUGAGACCAAAGGUGAAACGAAACAAAACUUCCCACAGGGUGUCGUCAUAAUGUUCUGCAAGUCACAGUUGGUCCCUGCCGCACUACCCUGAGAGUAGGACUUCUCUCUGUACAGGCUUGAGCCCAAUGCUGCUGGGGGUUAUAGACCACAGUGGCCUCUUGACAAAUUCUGUGGCUGUGAGUGUCCCUCCUCUGACCCUGGGUUGCUCUCAUUCAUCUCUCAUGACUCUUUCGCCUCCUCAAGUCCACCCACCCGUGACAUCUCCAUUGCCAUGGCACUGAGCAGCCACGUCAUUUGCCAAGUUCACGGGGUGAUGGCCCAGCACUGUGGAGCCUGCUUCCCUCUAGUGCUCCCUCCUGAAGGAGGAGGCUCCCUGGCAGAGCUCGGAGCCCUUUGUUUAUUUGAUCCUGGGCUCUUGGAUAAAUCAGGAAUGUCCUGACAUGAACUUAGGCAUGUUUUUCUUCCAUGGAGAAGGAAACUAUGGCAAAUAGGAUUUGAGUAAGCAGAAGACCAUUCUGGGGGACUGGUUUUAGUGCCAUCAGGGCCACAUUCCUUUGGUCAUCAGACCAGUAGGUGACUUCUUUAUUGGCAUGCUCCACCCUAGAACCCAGAAGGUGUGAAUUUAAAGCAUUUUCCCCCCUACUGGGAGCCUGGCACAGAGCCUCUGGGCUUCUUUUAAAACCAUGGACUGCCAUGGUUGUCUUCCAAGUGGUCCUUCGUUCUGCCGGUGAGAACUUGGCCCAGUACAAUUGCUUGACGAAGGCUGCUUGGAAAGCUGAUGUGGGGUGAGAGGGCUGCCUGGCCUCUCACUCAUUUGUGUUCCCAUAAGAUUCUUGAUGUAGUGUGCUUUAUGGAUCCACUGCCCCUGGACACAAAUGUAUCUUCUACGUCUGGUCAGCUCUAGGUUCCUACAGUGCAGCUGGUUGCAUGUGUGCAUCCUUUGCGCAUAGCUGGGUGGGAAUUCGAGAGUUGAGAGGUGUGUCUAGGUCAGGAGAGUUCCUUGGGUUAAUAUCUGAGCCGUUUUCAGAUGUAUUGUCAGUCUGGAGGGUCAGGGAGGUAUUGAGGACCCUGUGCUUUGCUGCACGGAGCCCGUCAGUAUCCACAGCCCACCUUUGUCCAUUUUUGAGGGUCAGUGGAAAUGCUGCCUGCCCAGGAAGGGGGUCAGCACCGAGCCAUGUGGGACGAAGAGCUGGUGAGUGCCCAUCUUAACUGGGUGCCUGUCCUGGAGAGAGGAACCCAGGCACUGGCUGCUUGAGGUCCAAGACUGGCAGUCGCUAUGUUUUGCUGCUUUUCGUGUUGUCAGAAGGCUCUUCUUGGGAACAAAUGACUCAGCAACCUGAAUCUCUGGUCUGUGUGGCCUAAAAGUGCCUUUGGGGAAGUAACUGGAUCUGUCUACCUAAACUCUAAAUUGUGAACCCUGAAAGAAUGGAGAUCCAGAUUGGUUUGACUCUGUUCAAUUUGGUUUUUCAAAUUCCUGCCCUGAUAGAAGGAUCUCACUUUGUAGGGUUUGCAGGCAAUGUUUUAAUUACGCCUUUUAUCCUUAGGAAAUUCCAGGGAGAAAAAGGUCCUGGUUGGUGGCCAAAAAGGCAAAAACAACAGAAAUCAACUCUACAGAAAUCAGCUCUAACUCUAAUUUUGGAUUUGUCUGUGGUAGAAGUUUAAUGGGAUGGUGGUCUCAGGAUAAGGACCAGUUUUUUUCCCUGUGGCUGGGGAAACCCAUGUGGCUUAAGAAAAGAUGAUGCAACAUUUAGCCUGGGACAGCCCUGUCUGGGUUCAGGGGCUACCACUCAGAGAGAAGGAGGCUUGGGACUGGGAAGUCUGAAAAGCACAGUUGAAGCUACAGGGAACAUGGGCCUGUGUGUCCCGUAGCAGUGAGGUGCAAAGAAGAAUGGCCAAGGAAGCAGAGUGUAGGCACAACUUUUUUUCUCUUCUCUUCUUUCUUUCUUUUCUUUUUUUUUUUUUUUUUUUUUUUGUCUUGUUUGACCAGCCUUGGCAGUGCCCUGCAGCUCUCCAGGGGAAAAGCUGCAGUUCUGCUCUUGCAACACAAGGAGCAGACUGGAGAAUUUAGAUCUGCGUCACAGAGCUCAGAGAGAGAGAGAGAGAGAGAGAGAGAGAGAGAGAGAGAGCGCGAGCGCUCGAGCAAGCGAGCUCCGUCGAUAGGUCUGCUAGCAACAGCCGUGCUGCAGCAGAGAGAGAGAGAGAAAUCAAGAACCAAGUCAUAGCAACACCGGGCACUGGGUUCCACGAGCUCACUUGCCAAGCCUUGAGAUCUGCUGGAGCCAGAGGCCUCUGGGGGACAGGAGAUUUGCAUUGACGUCCGGCUGUCCAGAGGUCCUUCAGAGCCAGUCCUGAGCCUAGUCUACCACGGGAAGAAGCGCCUUCCUUUUGGAAGCUGUUGAUGCUGCCUGGUGCAUGGAAAGGUGCCAUUCCACCAGCAGUCCAUGUGGCUCCAUGACCGUGAUGCUGGCAGAUGUGACAGCACCCCAGAUUUGUCAGCGAAUCAUCAGCAGGCUGCUCAGGAAACUGGGGCUGAAGCCCUUCCUCACUUGCCAGGCAACCAUGUGACGCAGGCUUCAUUUCCCUCACGACUGAAGGAACCUUAGUUAAAGAAGUGAUUCAACCAAGGUCACAUUCUUGGGUCCAGUGUCUGCUGUCUGAGGCUGUCUCAGGGGAAGGCGCGCCCCUUUUUCCACAAACAGCACCCCUGCUCACCAAGAUGCGUUCUCCUGGCCACCUGGAACCCUGAACCCUCGUUCCCGGAGGAAAGAAGAUGGACGAUUGGCUCAGCUUCCGGCUCCCUCCCCCACCCUGGCUGGAACUUGCAUCAGUCACGUCUCUAGCAUGCAGCUCAUCCAGGUCCCUGCAUCCUUACUGAUGCUGCUGCCUGCUGUCCCUUGAUCUGGAUGGGCCCUCCAAGUCUCUGCAUGGUGGUGACCAGUCUACCCCAGCCUCCCUUCUGCACCUGGAGAUGGAGGGGCCCAUUAAAGGCAACUCAGGGUGAAGCUGUGGAAUCUUAAGACUGAGGAUCCCAGACUCUGGAACCUAUGCUCAGUUCCCGGGGGCAGUGGCUCCUCACUAGGUACAGCAGCUCUGCUGGAGCCUGGGUAGCACUGUGCCUCCUGGGUAGCAGGAGAAGCAUUCAUUCAGUGCCAAACAGAAGAGCAAACCAGACAGGUGGGUUCUGGGAGGAAGAACGACUCAGCCUGCUGGUAGUGGGUAGGCUUGGGAGGCUGAGACAGGAAGGGUGGCUGGGGUGGCAGCUAGUGGGUGCAGAGAGUCUCUCAGUGCAGGAGGGGCAGCAGGGGCGGGGUGGGGGAGGACCUUCCUGGACUCCUGCAGGACUCCUGCACAGGGACACACGAAGGGUGUUUGUGGGUAGUGAACAGUGGUGAGUAGAGUUGCUAAGGAAAAGAAUUUGGCUAAAAUGAAAAGCAGAGGAGCUGAGAAUUACCCAGUGUAAAUCUCAUCCACCCCUCUCCUUUCAAAAGAUUGGACAUUCGGUGAUCACUGUUACGUAAUGCUUGCUUGUGAUGUUAAAGCCCAUGCUGUCCCCGUUUCCCCAGGCCUCAGGUUGGUUAGAGAUGUCAUUGCUCAGCACCUUGUGUGCAGACUGACUCCAGCUGGCCCCGCUGUGGCCAGUCCUGUGGUGGGCUGCCGUCCCUGCUGCUGAUAUGGAGUUGCCAGGGAGUUCAUUGGCAGCACUUUCUCCAUGCUGAGGGAGGGCUCCAGGGGCAGUAGAAGCCCAGGAGAGCAGAUGUAAACCACCCCGGCCAUCAGCCCCUUCACAGAACCCAAAUCCCAAGCGCACUGCAUUGCAUAAUCAGAAUCAUCCCACUCCCAUGCAGAGAAAUACUGCCUCCCUGCUACCCUCUACCUCCAGGUCUUGCUUAGAGCUAAGUGCGAGAGGAAAAUGAGGUGAAAGUCGGCUAAGGACCUGGCAACAGUGGCAGGAAGGAGGGAACACAGACUUUGGACUUACUCCUGGGACCUGCUUUUAUUAAGCAUGUGACUGUGGACAGGUUUUUGUGUGUGUAUGUGUCCUUAUUAAAGAUCACUUUCAAUUUCUGCAGAAAUUGGUAGAAUACCUUCUUCAUAGAACAGUUGUGAGAAUUAAAUAGCACAGUUCUUGUUCCAUUUUUAUUUCCUCCUUUUCCUAUAGCAACACAUACUUUGAUGGCCAUAAAAGAGCCAUAAAAAAGGCAACCCUGUAUCUAGAGGUCUGAAGCAGGGCUCAGGACUCUAAAACAUUGCAGCUUCUAUUGUUUCCUCUUUCUCUGGGUUGUGACAUCAGAGGAAAAAGACAUUUCUGUAACCUCCUCAAAAGGUGUUGUGAAAGAGGAAAUCAUUGAUACACAGUUUGCAAAUUAUAUUUUCAGGCAAAUGAAAACAAAAAUGUGUGUGUGAGCAGAUUCCCUGCCUAACACACUGAUGCAGAGGGCAGCUUUUUUAAAAAUCACACUACAGGUGUAUUCAGAUACGCAGCUGAAGGGCCACCUCGAGUGCUGUGAGGCUGUGUGUGAUGCAGCCCUCCACAGACAGGCGGGAGCCUACAUCCUUCAGGGCCGGACUCCUGCAUCCGGGUCCUCCUCCCAUGCUGGGAAAUGUUCUGUACAUGUCGCGUGCUAUGAAUGGAAGCAGCAAUGUACUUUAUAAUGGCAUUGAAUCUCAUUUCAUCCCGUGUCAUGCUUUAUAGUGACAGGUUGGGAAACUCAGCAGAGGAGAUGCGUGUUGUGGCAUUCAAGUGUGUGUGAAGUGUCCUCCAUGGCUCUCAGGAGCUGCACUGUGGGGCUGUCCUCUGGGUCUUUCCAGGAGGUCAUUCUGUAAUUCCAUAAGUGGAGCCCCAAGAAGAUAUUUCUCCUUAGGAUGGAGGCCGAGUCUUCGACCGCAGCUCUGCGCUUUCUUCAGUGAGACCCUCUUCUUCUGGAAGCUGGUUUCACAUGGUGGCUUAGAUUUUUCGAUCUUUGUAUCUAGCACCAUUUGAAAUCAGUGUUUUAGGAGUAAGAAUUGCAGCGGCACAAGGGAAGACUGCAAGGACUUGCUUCAAGAAGUCCUUCAGGGAGGGAAGACUGGCAGGGCACGAGGCACUCUUGGAUGUAAAGGGUUUUGGAGCAGUGACCAUGGGAGAGGUUUGUGUUUAAACAAACACAGCGGCCUGAUGGGGCAGAAGUGGUCCCCUCCCCUUCCUGUGACCGGUGGAGGGCAGCGGAGGUGGCACUGUGUUCUGCUGAGUCUGGGGUGCUGUAUCGGGUGUGGUUGUGGUGGGAAGUGGUGAGUGUCGUGUGUCCAGGGCCAUAGCUGCCUGCUCUGGAGGGAGGACGCCGAAGUGUCUGCUGCCUGCUGACGCCUUUCCGCACCGAGGCACAGACGGGAGGACGCCCACCGCUGGCUCAUCUCUUACACAGGCUGACCGAUUUCUCCUGGUGUUCAGAGUCUGUUUUUGUCUAGCACCAUUUGAAAUCGGUUAUGAUGUAGGGGGAAAAGCAGCAGCCACCUCUAAGCUUUGCGCCGCAUCCAAGCAGCUGCACCUGUGGUCUCCUGCAAGGUGGACCAGCAGAGGGUGAGGAAGGACUGAAAUUUCCUCAUGGAGGUCUUUAACUGCCCUUAGGUUAUCGCAGAGGUAAGAGAUAAUUUACUGAGUUAAAAAAACCACAGUAGUUAUAAUUUGAACGAUGUUCUCAGCGGCAUCUUCGGAAAUGUACCAUACUACAGAUGCUGUAAGCUGGUUACCGUUAUCUUUGUUAAGAGUCUGUUCAUGCAUCCUGAUUUUAAUAAACGACGUACUGGAUCCCA